GGUACUGGUACAACUAUGCAUCAUAGGGUGCAGCUUUAUUCAGGUCCGAUGUCAACAUUUUAAAUGUUGAUGAUUUGUCGGAUGACAAAAUUUGAGGAGGUACUUUUUUUGUGAAUAAUUUGAGGAGGUACUGAUUGUGGAAGAUGAAAAUGGCAAUAUUUGUCGGAUGGGAAUAUGACACAAUGGAAGAUAAUGAUGUCCUUGUCGAGUAUAUAAGAUCAUGAGGGAAACACUGACCUGUUUGUGUCAUCUAGAUCAUGAGGAUACAGCGCAACAUUGACCACUAUUGUUACCGGUGGAAUUGUUGUAGCAGUGUUGGGGGCUCGCACCAAUUAUGUGACUGUUGUGGUUAUGAAUUUAGCUGCUACUCCUCUCGAGCUAAGGUAAAC